rnacentral:lncRNA from 1 species
UUUUUUUUUUUUUAAUAGUGUUUUGAACUGGGUUACUUGUUUGAAUAUUGCAAACAACUGCUAACUCAUAUAGUACAAGGGUUUCUUUUCCCUCUUUUCCAUGUUCAAGUCAAUAAUUAUCGUUACUGUCUGAUCAUGAUGGGAGUUUGAAGCUUGUUUAGGUAUUCGCUUCAGUUUAAGGUGCUAUUUGGGAUACUAUGUAUUGAUAGAAGAAAAGAUGAUGAAAGAAUUUAAGCCAGCCCAUAUUUUUGAAGGGCAAAAUCAGCCAUAAUACUUUUAUCCUGAUAUUAGAGGCAAAAGAAGCAAAUUUUUAUUUCAUAAUUUGUUGCCUGGUAAAACAAUCAUGUAUGCAUCUAACUUUGUAUUGAGCUUUGCUAUGAAAUGUUCUUCUCUUGUUUAUGUAUUUGGGAUGAAGUUAAUGAACAUGCGACCCGCAAGUAAGCGUCAGUGUAGUUUAAUUCUUUUGCUGAUUUGUAAACUAGUAUUUGUUUUCAGUACAAGAAGAUGUCUUCAGGACAAGUGGCAAGUACAUUGGACUGGAGUGAGAUGAAGAGAUAGGGUAUAUAUUUCCCGGUUUGUAUCAAAACAGUUCUAGUUCUACAUAAACAGAGCACGUUUAGUAAACAGUACCAUUAGUAUAGUGUUUAGUUUACCUUACCAAACCUAUCGGCAGGACCGCCCUUACUUAAUCCUGCUUGUGUGUCCAAACAGAGUGAAGACCAAUUCAAUGGC